CCUACGGGAGGCUGCAGUGAGGAAUAUUGGUCAAUGGACGAGCGUCUGAACCAGCCAAGUAGCGUGAAGGAUGACUGCCCUAUGGGUUGUAAACUUCUUUUAUAAAGGAAUAAAACGAGGCACGUGUGCCUUUUUGCAUGUACUUUAUGAAUAAGGAUCGGCUAACUCCGUGCCAGCAGCCGCGGUAAUACGGAGGAUCCGAGCGUUAUCCGGAUUUAUUGGGUUUAAGGGGAGCGUAGAUGGGUUGUUAAGUCAGUUGUGAAAGUUUGGGGCUCAACCGUAAAAUUGCAAUUGAUACUGGCAGUCGUGAGUACAGUUGAGGUAGGCGGAAUUCGUGGUGUAGCGGUGAAAUGCUUAGAUAUCACGAAGAACCCCGAUUGCGAAGGCAGCUUACUAAACUGUGACUGACAUUGAUGCUCGAAAGUGUGGGUAUCAAACAGGAUUAGAUACCCUGUAGUC
rnacentral:rRNA from 1 species